rnacentral:hammerhead_ribozyme from 1 species
AUACAGCUGACGAGUACCAAAUAAGACAAAACACGCGUCAUGUAU